rnacentral:tRNA from 1 species
GCAUUAGUUUUAAUAAUUUAAAAAAAAUACUGGUCUUGUAAACCAGAAAUAAGAUAUUUCUUUUAAAACU